GGCUUCAUGUGUUCAUGUUUCACACAAAUAUCCGUGUGAAACUGUGAAUCCUUAUCAAUAACUUUCCCCAAAUUCCCAUUUAUCUUCAUUAAUUCAAGUUAGACUUUAGACGCGUUCUCAUUUAUCCUCACCAAAAACCCCAGACCUCAUUCACCAUGAUUUCUCUCUCUAAACCCUCCCAAUGGCCCUCAAACACCCAAUCCCUCACCCUCCUCCGACUCUUCUGCUCCACCGAUACCCCAACUGAAUCCCCACCAGACCCGCAAACCCCAAGACCCAGGCAGCUGCGUCGGGUUCGGAGCCCGGAAAAGCCCAAGGACAUUAUCUGCAGAAUAAUGGCCAAUUGGGGAUGGAUGACCUCCAGAUUUCCAGAUCAGCGUCUCAUCAACUCCAGAUUCCAGCAAAAACUCAAGAUCUGCAGGUAAGGGCAUCUCUGUGGAUGUUGAACACAUCAAUUUGCAUUGAUCUUAAGUGGAUCUCUGGAAGUCUUUGUUUUCUAUCUUAUUCUCUGAUAUCCCUUAUGGGCAAACGAAGAAAUAGUCUUUUUUGGGAGAUUGAGAGAUUUGGGUUAUCACUUCGGCUCUGGUCAGGCAUGUCAAAUCUCCUUUGCAUCUGAAAUUCAUUAGAUGCAAACAAAGACUCAAUCUCUACAUAACACAAGUUGGAUCUCAAGAUUAUUCCUUCAAGAUAUGGAGAAUGACCAUGAAGAACAUGAUGAACAACCUUUCAAGAUUUGCAGAAUCACCAUGAAGAACAAAAAGAACAACUAUGACUAUAAUUGAGAAUAAACGGAGGAAUUUAAAAUAAGUAUCUAAAUAUGAAUAAUUGUAAUACAUUUAUUCUGAAAUAUAAAGAUUAAUUAUAAUUUGGAAAUUUGGAAGUUAAUAUAAUUGGGAUUCAUAGGGG